AUUGAACGCUGGCGGCAGGCCUAACACAUGCAAGUCGGGCGUGCGGAGGAAGGGUGGGUUAUGUAUGUGGAUCUGACUGAGGGAGGGGGAUAACUACUGGAAACUGUCGCUAAUACCGCAAACCAGAACAUGCAGCAAUAUGGGAAUAACUUGUAGGUGGGGGAAAGGCUCACCUAGGCGCAGAUCCCUAGCUGGUCUGAGAGGAUGAAAAUCCACACUGGGACUGAGACACGGCCCAGACUCCUACGGGAGGCAGCAGUGGGGAAUAUUGCACAAUGGGCGCAAGCCUGAUGCAGCCAUGCCGCGUGUAUGAAGAAGGCCUUCGGGUUGUAAGGUACUUUCAGUCGGGAGGCGUUACCUACAGAAGAAGCACCGGCUAACUCCGUGCCAGCAGCCGCGGUAAUUC
rnacentral:rRNA from 1 species